rnacentral:rRNA from 1 species
CUAAUACAUGCAAGUCGAACGCUGAAACACUCUGCUUGCAGAGUGUGGAUGAGUGGCGAACGGGUGAGUAACACGUGGGGAAUCUGCCUAUAAGUGGGGGAUAACAUUCGGAAACGGAUGCUAAUACCGCAUAUAUUCAAAAACCGCAUGGUUUCUGAAAGAAAGACGGCUUUGCUGUCGCUUAUAGAUGAUCCCGCGGCGUAUUAGUUAGUUGGUGGGGUAAUGGCCUACCAAGACCAUGAUACGUAGCCGACCUGAGAGGGUGAUCGGCCACACUGGGACUGAGACACGGCCCAGACUCCUACGGGAGGCAGCAGUAGGGAAUCUUCCACAAUGGGUGCAAACCUGAUGGAGCAAUGCCUCGUGAAUGAAGAAGGUCUUCGGAUCGUAAAGUUCUGUUAUUAGAGAAAAACAAGUCAAGGAGUAACUGUCUUGACUUUGACGGUACCUAACCAGAAAGUCACGGCUAACUACGUGCCAGCAGCCGCGGUAAUACGUAGGUGACAAGCGUUGUCCGGAAUUAUUGGGCGUAAAGGGAGCGCAGGCGGUUGGAAUAGUCUGAUGUGAAAGCCCACGGCUUAGCCGUGGAAGGUCAUUGGAAACUGUCCAACUUGAAUGCAGAAGAGGUAAGUGGAAUUCCAUGUGUAGCGGUGAAAUGCGUAGAUAUAUGGAGGAACACCAGUGGCAAAGGCAAC